UACGGAGGGUGCGAGCGUUGUCCGGAAUCACUGGGCGUAAAGGGCGCGUAGGCGGCCUGAUAGGUAGGGGGUGAAAUCCUGCGGCUUAACCGCAGGGCUGCCUUCUAAACUGUCAGGCUCGAGCACAGUAGAGGCAGGUGGAAUUCCCGGUGUAGCGGUGGAAUGCGUAGAGAUCGGGAAGAACAUCAGUGGCGAAGGCGGCCUGCUGGGCUGUUGCUGACGCUGAGGCGCGACAGCGUGGGGAGCAAACAGGG
rnacentral:rRNA from 1 species